GUGGUUCUCCCGCCAAUGGAACAAUAACUCACUAAUAGUUCAAUGAACCUGGUAAGUUUUAUUAUCUUUAACAUUAAAUUGCCUGUUUUCUUUUCAACUCGGGGGGAAGUUCUUUGUAGUCCAUGUAUUCCUUUCGUCUAUUAUUUAUCAUCUUUGUCUUUUUGAAUUUUCCAAAUUCUCACUAAUGAGAUCUUACAGUGUCCUUGUAAAGUUUCUCUCCCACCCUCCCCCGCCACAAACGGCGGGUAUACGUUCCGCGCGCCACCACCGGAAAGACGGAGCAUGUCUACCGGGCCUAAAGUAGGCAUUGGUGCUUUUCGCUUUAGUCUCUGGUCUGGUGGAGUGUCACAAUGUGCAGUAGUGAAUUUGUGUCCCAUGAACGUGCACCUUUUCCUUUUGCUUCUUCGCCAGUUUGUGAGAGCGUUGCCACCUUUUCUUUGCAGGAAAUAAAAGCAGUUUGUUGCUGAAUGAAGCAAGUCCUGGUGAUGUAACUGGCAAACUUGGUUUUGAAACCGUCCAACGGUUUAAACCCUGGAAACAUCGUCAUACCACAAGCUGAUUGUCCAUCAGUGGUGGAAUGUUUACACGUCAAUUUACGAUGGACCACAAGUCAGCUCAUUGGUGACCCCGCUGCAAUCAUCAAAACUCCGGGUGUAAAUCGGAGAGAGUCGAAAUAUCAAAUGUGUGUGUAGUGUCCAGCUGAUUACCUACUUCGAUGAAGAUCACACGUCGUGCAUUUCCAGAUGUGUUUGUGUGGGCGAGAGGGAAUCGAUAUCCUCAUGUUCUUGAUGAUCUGGUGUUACACUUUGAACUCGUUGACCGGUGCAGUUCCACAUAAACAAGAUGCAUUGAUUACUGCUGCUGCAUUUUAUGAAUCAUUUAAAGCCUUCACUUCCAUCAGUUUAAGGAUUCGGUCCGACAAAACCGAACUAGCACGCAAUGCCUGAGUCGCCAUCAUGUUCUUCAUCUUUUCCUCCAUUUCGAGGUUCAAUCCACUUUCAUCCUUCAUUGGUUCCACGUCCGUAUCUACACGUUUGCCAAAAUAUGAAAGUAAUCAUAUUUUAAGGAACAAUUUGCUGUACCUGAUGUAGGACCUUUCUUUUGUUCUGCCUCAUCCAUGUCUUGUAAAGUGGAAGCGGCUUGCUUGUUUUGGGUCAUGGUAAUCAUCAAGACACCAGCAAACAUCCACAUCAAGGAUCUUUUCUUGUAGUCUUCCAUAAAAUUUUCCCACGUGUAGUUGUCGAGUGAAACGCCGAGAAAUAGCAAAUCAGUCGUCAACGUAUCGAAAUAAUGACGAAGCAAGACGAGCAUGUGUUGCUCCCUCAACUCUGGCAUUGUACUCGUGUACAUGAAGUAAAGCACAUCGCUGAGUGGAUGGCCUAUCCUCGAUUGCUGAAAAUCGAGCAUUUUUAACGAAACAGGAAUGUUUACGGAUGCAGUUUCGUUCGUUGUCCUAUCUUCGGGGCGAUCCGUCUGCUCUGCGUAUUUGAACAGCAUGUUGUUGUUCCAAAAAUCUCCGUGAAGGAUGCAAGCCAGUGGACCACUGGUCUCUACAUUGUCGACUAACAUGAUCUCCGGUAGCCGUUGCUGAAGAUCCGUCAACCACUCGACUAACUGUUAAUGAUUGAACAACAAUGGAGCUGUAAAAUUCAAUGGCUAAGCACAGUCAAAUACAAAAAAUAUCUAAACAAA